rnacentral:rRNA from 1 species
UACGUAUGGGGCGAGCGUUGUUCGGAAUUAUUGGGCGUAAAGGGCGUCUAGGCGGGGGAUUAAGUUAGAUGUGAAAGCCAUGGGCUCAACCCAUGAACUGCAUCUAAGACUGGUUCUCUUGAGUUCGGGAGAGGAGAGCGGAAUUCCAGGUGUAGCGGUGAAAUGCGUAGAUAUCUGGAAGAACACCAGUGGCGAAGGCGGCUCUCUGGCCUAGAACUGACGCUGAAGCGCGAAAGCGUGGGGAGCGAACAGG